rnacentral:rRNA from 1 species
AAUUACCAGCACAAGCUGAAAACUCAAAAGACUUGACGGUGCUCUACCCUACCUAGAGGAGCCUGUCCUAUAAUCGAUACUCCACGAUCUACCUCACCUUUGCUAGCCCAUCAGCCUAUAUACCGCCGUCGAAAGUAUAUCCUGCAAAGGACCAAUAAUUGACUUAACAGUCCUACCACUAAAACGUCAGGCCAAGGCAUAACUAAUGUAAAGGAAGAGAUGGGCUACAUUUUCUGUCCGCAGAGCACACGAAAAACAACAUGAAACCUGUUUCUUUAAAGGAGGAUUUAGCA